rnacentral:rRNA from 1 species
AGUGAACGCUGGCGGUAGGCCUAACACAUGCAAGUCGAACGGCAGCACAGGAGAGCUUGCUCUCUGGGUGGCGAGUGGCGGACGGGUGAGGAAUACAUCGGAAUCUACUCUGUCGUGGGGGAUAACGUAGGGAAACUUACGCUAAUACCGCAUACGACCUACGGGUGAAAGCAGGGGAUCUUCGGACCUUGCGCGAUUGAAUGAGCCGAUGUCGGAUUAGCUAGUUGGCGGGGUAAAGGCCCACCAAGGCGACGAUCCGUAGCUGGUCUGAGAGGUAGAUCAGCCACACUGGAAAUGAGACACGGUCCAGACUCCUAGGGGAGGCAGCAGUGGGGAAUAUUGGACAAUGGGCGCAAGCCUGAUCCAGCCAUACCGCGUGGGUGAAGAAGGCCUUCGGGUUGUAAAGCCCUUUUGUUGGGAAAGAAAUCCAGCUGGCUAAUACCCGGUUGGGAUGACGGUACCCAAAGAAUAAGCACCGGCUAACUUCGUGCCAGCAGCCGCCGUAA